UUUAUACGUCGAAUUUUGGUCGCGUCGAAUGCAUUACAAUAGAUAAUGAGAUGAUAAACCUCACUAAGCUUCAUUAUCUAUUGUUUGAAUUGCAUUCGACGCGGCCGAAAUUCGACGUAUAAA